rnacentral:rRNA from 2 species
GGUUAAGCGACUAAGCGUACACGGUGGAUGCCCUGGCAGUCAGAGGCGAUGAAGGGCGUGCUAAUCUGCGAUAAGCGCCGGUAAGGUGAUAUGAACCGUUAUAACCGGCGAUACCCGAAUGGGGAAACCCAGUGUGAUUCGUCACACUAUCAUUAACUGAAUCCAUAGGUUAAUGAGGCGAACCGGGGGAACUGAAACAUCUAAGUACCCCGAGG